AAACAAGUAAAAGAGUAAAGAGUAAUCAAAAAUUUAAAAUCUGAAAAUAUUUUUGUUUUCUAUUUGAAUAGGUUGGCAAUGUAAAAAAGAGUACAAAAUAGGUAUUUUGAAAGGAAACCCUGUGCUCGGACAAUGUAUCUAUCUUGAGGUUAAAGAUAUGCCCUAUAUGGAAAGGCCUGUGGUCUGGAGAAAUAAGGUCCGUACUAUCGAGUGCAAUAAGGAAUAUUGCGAGAAUGACACAUAUGCAGUUAGGCAGAUUCAUAGAACUUCUACUCUCUACAUCGAGAAUAUAACGAGAGGGGAUUUGUUUUGGAGAUUCUAUGACAAGAACUCCUGUAAUGCAACUAUUACUCUUGGGAAAGAAGAUAAUGAAAGAACAAAAGAUUUUAAAGUUGCUACAUCAGAAGGACUCAGCAAUGGCGCGCGUGUAGCAAUAAGCCUUUGCAUAUUCUUCUUUGCUGGAGUCAUGCUUUUUGCUCUCAUCAUAAUUAGCCUAUGGAGAAUGUAGAAAAAAUUGGUAUAGCAUGCAAGAAAGGAUUGGUUGGUGCUUUUUCUUUUGUGCCCCAUAAUUUGCACGAUGGCAUCAAAUCCCUAAAACCUGAGAAAAGCGACUCCAAGAACUU